AUGGGAUUUGGCGGGGGAGGUCUCAGGUGGGUCUGGGGUCAAUUUUGUGGGGAACUGGGGGGUCUGAGUGUCCUGGGGAGGCUUUGGGAGUCCUGGGCUAACCUUGGAGGGCUCUGGGUGGAAUAAAUAGGGCAGGAGAUCUUUCUCCUUUUUAAUGCCUUUAUUAAAAAGAAUCAGCUCAAGUGGGAAGAAACCGACGGGUGGCGCCCACGCCGCCGUUGCUCCCAGGAGUGCCAUGGAGGAGGAGGAGGAGGAGGAUGCAGCUGUGUCCGCUGGUGUUUUUUCCUGGAAAAUUGCAAAAUCUGGUGAAAUGCAUUCUUAUCUGCAUACCAGCUCUGAUGUCACACACUUCCCCUGAUACCUGCAGGGUCCGGUAUCACUUCCUGGCAAUCAGCCAGGCUGAUCACCAACCAUUAACAGGAUUUCCCAUUCCCAACCCUUGCUAGGCUGUGAAGAAGAGGAAGAUGUCCCUGGACAUGCAGGCAGGUGCUGAGGAUGGAGAGCAGGGAGGACAAAUCCCUGCGGCAGAACCUCAUGGAAGAGGCCAUUUUGAGCAGCUCCAGGGUACAGGAAAAGCCCCGGAGAUGCCGCACGAGGAGGAGGGGCUGCAAACGCAGAUCGUGGGGAUCUGAGGGGGAAAGACCCAGCCUGGGCUGGGAAGGUGGCUGGAGAUCGAGCCAGAGCUCGGAGCUGGUGGCCCAUGAGCAGGUUCAUGAUGCAGAGAAGCCUCACAAGUGCGUGGAGUGUGGGAAGAACUUCAGGAGGUGCUCCAACCUGAUCACCCACCAGAGGACCCACACUGGGGAACGGCCCUACGAGUGUGGGGAGUGUGGGAUGAGCUUCAGGCAGAACUCCAACCUGCUCAGGCACCCGGUGAUCCACACUUGGUAACGGCCCUACGAGUGUUAUCAGUGCAGGAAGAAGUUUCAGACCGGCUCUGAUCUCCUCCUGCACCAGUGCACAUACACAGAGGAGAGGCUUUUCCGCUGCCCCGACUGCGGGCAGGGCUUCAGGCAGAACGCCCAUCUUGUCAGGCACCGGCGCAUCCACACUGGGGAGAGGGCCCACGAGUGUGAGGAGUGUGGCAAGAGCUUCAGGCACAGCUCCACCCUGAUCCAGCACCAGAGGAUCCACACUGGGGAACGGCCCGACAAGUGUGUGAGGAGUGCGGGAAGAGCUUCAGCCGGCAUUCCACCCUCGUCAUCCACCAAAAGAUCCACUCUGGGGAGAGGCCCUACGAGUGUUCCAAGUGUGGGAAGGGGUUUCGGGUCAACUCAGAUCUCCUCCAGCACUGUCAGAGUCACACAGAGGAGAGGCCCUUCUGCUGCCCCAACUGAGGGAAGGGAUUCAGGCACAACUCCAACCUCGUCACACACCAACACAUCCACGCUGGGGAGAGGCCCUACGAAUGUCCCCAGUGUGGGAAGAUCUUCUCACAGAGCUCUCACUUGACCCAACACUAAUGGAGCCACUGGUAAGGGAAGCCCUGCGAUUGCCCCGAGUGCAGGAAGAGCUUUGUGUGCUGCUCCAGCUCCAUCCCCCACUGCAGGACCCACGUUGGGCACAGCCCUGGUGACCCACAUACCCUGUGAUCCAUGUUGGGAACACAUCUGCCUGCUUAUCCUUUUGGUUUGGCCGUAAUUUUCCUCUGAUUCCUCUUGAAAAACGCCAAUCACUUGUUCUAAAAUUUUAAUAGUAAUAAAAUAGUUAUUAAAAAAAUAAUAAUAAUUAGAGCUAUAAGAAUUUGGACAAUCAGAUUUAGGAUAAUAAAGGACAAUAAAAAGCAUAGAAUUACA